ensembl:snRNA U1 U1 spliceosomal RNA
AUUCUAAAUUUGCUUUAAUUAGUUCAGGUGCAUUUGUUAAACACGAAUAUGGCAAACCUGUAAUCAGGGCGAAGCUUAUUUAUUUCACUCCGGAUGUGCUGACCUCUGUGAUUUCCCCAAAUGUGGGAAACUUGACAGCAUAAUUUAGUGGGGGACUGCGUUCUCACUUUCUCAGC